rnacentral:rRNA from 1 species
GACGUAGGGCGCGAGCGUUGUCCGGAUUAUUGGGCGUAAAGAGCUCGUAGGCGGCUUGUUGCGUCAGCUGUGAAAACCCGCAGCUCAACUGUGGGCUUGCAGCUGAUACGGGCAGGCUUGAGUUCGGUAGGGGAGACUGGAAUUCCUGGUGUAGCGGUGGAAGUGCGUAGAGAGUCCGGAGGAGACCGGUGGCGAAGGCGGUCUGCUGGCAGUUCUGGACACUGAGGCGCGACGAGCGUGGGAGCAACAGGAUAGAACCUUGA